GGGAGCCGAGCUCUUUCGGCAGGACGUACUCGGGACUGGCAAGAGCCAGGGUGUGGGGCUCCCACAGCCUUCUUGAACUCUACGUGCAGUUAGACGGUGGAAGGAACAAAAGAUACUCCUCGUCUGUAAAAUGCCAUGAAAGCACCACGGCUGACGUAAGAAUCAGCUGUAUCCCGGCUUGGAAGAGUGGGUGCAAGGUAGGUGUGACAAAGAAGAGGAGCUUGAAACUGCCUCCUGUUCCAGCCUAAUCGGACAGCUGACAACUAUUUGCACUUGUCACCAAGACGCUCCGUGGCUACUACAUUCAGAGAAAAGAAUAAAUCCCGAGUUCACAGGCCUGCUGGGGAAGAGCGUCCUCUGAGCAGGCCGCCCUGCUUCCUUCACCAGAUAUUUACUGGCAUCACCAACUCUCUUCGUGAGAGGAUGGACAUUGUCGUCUACGUCAGGGAAGUCUUUGUGCAGAAGGCUGAAGGGACAAUUUCCAAGGACAAACACUUGCUGGGAGAACCAACUUCCCAAACUUCCUUCAUCUGUUAGUCGCUUGGUACCCAGUUGAUGCGUCUGUGAGACCGUUUUCAGCUGAAAACAGCACAGCAUUGGGAAAGGGAAAUAAAUCUUUCCCAAAUUCUCGUGUUACGCUGGUUAAGGGGGAGAAACCUGCCAAAAAGUUUCCUAAUGUUUAAAGGCUCCUGUCCAGUUUAAGGUGUUUGUUUUCAUCCGGAUAGGUUGGCGGCUGCUUUCUUUCUCUCUUGCUCAACUCUUCCUCCUGCAUUCCAUCAGAGUUCUUGUUUCCCAUCCAAAGGGCUUCACUCCUUUUCCAACAAUUCCUGUUUUCUAGUCCUCCAUCUCCUCCUCCUCCUCCUGUGAAUGCAGACACAGGUUCAUCUGAGUUUCCCAGUCGGUCUUGGCACAGCCCUGCCUCCCAUCGCCUCUCACAGCGUCUGGCUCCUGAAUGAAUUCUUCCUUCGGUCUAAUUCAGUUCUAGUCAUCACUCUCCUAUUUCCAAACUCUCAUCACACUCCUCAUUAUCUACCAAAUGAACUUCCAUCCCCUACAGCUGGCCUUGCCAACCCUUCGUUCCCACUCUCCUCCGUGCCUUUCUCAAACACCAGUUGGGGCUGGACAGCCUCUUUGAACAUCCUCUACCUUUCUGUUCUCUCUGCCUGCCCUACUCCCUGGCCCAGUGCCCUACUCACACCUCUCUUCAAAACCUCUCUAUAGUCUGUCUCUGCACGUUUGUUAUACCAUUCUUUUCACCCAAAGUUCUUUAAUUUACCCCUUGUAGGCACCGCCCUCCACCCAGCCCAGCCCAGUGGCUCUUCCAUGGAUGGCAUGUCUCGUAUGGUAGGCGAUCCGGGCAGGCUGUUUACCAGGGGACCCCAAGCUGCUGGCUGUGGCUUUAGAUUUUUCCUCUUGGGCUACUCAGACUCCCCAGAGAAGAAUGUUCCAGGCUCUUGGCUGGAGGGUGGGGUCAGGCUGCUAGUGUGUUUAAGCCCCAAGAGGCACAAAGGGGCUGGAGUCCUUAAGUUUAAAAAUGAAUGGCAUCUGGGUGCCUGAGUAGCUCAGUCAGUUAAGCAUCCACAUCCACGAGAAACCUGGC